rnacentral:tRNA from 1 species
UAGGGAUACAGCUCAGUGGUAGAGCACUUGUCUUGCAUGUGUGAGGCCCUGGGUUUAAUCCCCAGAACCUUAA